AUGUGUACAUGAAUGUGUAAAUGUGUACAUGAAUCUGUAAAUGUGGACAUGCAUAUUAAUGUCAGCAGUCUUUUUUGCUCCUACAGCUGGAAAUACAGAUCAUCAGUUAUGACUCUCAGUUGGCUCUUUUUACGCUGCUGCUGCAGAUCUGACGCUGUGUGUGGACAGAUUGUCUGUGUGCCUCGGUGGCCACGCCCACUUCGGGUUCCUGUACGCGUUGACAGGUUUCUGUACGCAUUGACUCUGUACGCAUUGACAGGUUUCUGUACACAUUUACAGGUUUCUGUACGCAUUGACAGGUUUCUGUACACAUUUACAGGUUUCUGUACGCAUUGACAGGUUUCUGUACGCAUUGACAGGUUUCUGUAUGCAUUGACUCUGUACGCAUUGACAGGUUUCUGUACAUAUUGACAGGUUUCUGUGCGCAUUGACAGGUUUCUGUACACAUUUACAGGUUUCUGUACGCAUUGACAGGUUUCUGUACGCAUUGACUCUGUAUGCAUUGACAGGUUUCUGUACGCAUUGACAGGUUUCUGUACACAUUUACAGGUUUCUGUACGCAUUGACAUGUUUCUGUACGCAUUGACUCUGUACGCAUUGACAGGUUUCUGUAUGUAUUGACAGGUUUAUGUAUGCAUUGACAGGUUUCUGUACACAUUUAAAGGUUUCUGUACACUUUUACAGGUUUCUGUAUGCAUUGACAGGUUUCUGUACGCAUUGACAGGUUUCUGUACGCAUUGACUCUGUAGGCAUUGACAGGUUUCUGUACGCAUUGACAGGUUCCUGUACGCAUUGACUCUGUACGCAUUGACAGGUUUCUGUACACAUUUACAGGUUUCUGUACGCAUUGACAUGUUUCUGUACGCAUUGACUCUGUACGCAUUGACAGGUUUCUGUAUGUAUUGACAGGUUUAUGUAUGCAUUGACAGGUUUCUGUACACAUUUAAAGGUUUCUGUACACUUUUACAGGUUUCUGUAUGCAUUGACAGGUUUCUGUACGCAUUGACAGGUUUCUGUACGCAUUGACUCUGUAGGCAUUGACAGGUUUCUGUACGCAUUGACAGGUUCCUGUACGCAUUGACUCUGUACGCAUUGACAGGUUUCUGUACACAUUUACAGGUUUCUGUACGCAUUGACAGGUUUAUGUACGCAUUGACUCUGUACGCAUUGACAGGUUUCUGUACACAUUUACAGGUUUCUGUACACAUUGACAGGUUUCUGUACGCAUUGACAGGUUUAUGUACGCAUUGACUUUGUAUGCAUUGACAGGUUUAUGUACGCAUUGACAGGUUUCUGUACACAUUGACAGGUUUCUGUACGCAUCGACAGGUUUAUGUACGCAUUGACUUUGUACGCAUUGACAGGUUUAUGUACGCAUUGACUUUGUACGCAUUGACAGGUUUAUGUACGCAUUGACAGGAGUUUAGACUUAUUUGAAAAGAGAUAACUUCUGUUAUGAUUUGGUGCUAUACAAAUAAAACUGAAUUGAAGUUGCUGAGGGUCGUCAACCUGACUUUUGCAGCAACGUGACAUCAUCCAGCAAGAUCCUGUGCGGACCAAUCACAGGCAGGCGCACAGUGCGGGUACAUUGGUUUGUAACCUGAACGCUGUAUUGUGACGAUAGCAACAAACAUGGAGAUGU